rnacentral:rRNA from 1 species
GAUGAACGCUGGCGGCGUGCCUAAUACAUGCAAGUCGAGCGAACAGACGAGGAGCUUGCUCCUCUGACGUUAGCGGCGGACGGGUGAGUAACACGUGGAUAACCUACCUAUAAGACUGGGAUAACUUCGGGAAACCGGAGCUAAUACCGGAUAAUAUAUUGAACCGCAUGGUUCAAUAGUGAAAGACGGUUUUGCUGUCACUUAUAGAUGGAUCCGCGCCGCAUUAGCUAGUUGGUAAGGUAACGGCUUACCAAGGUGACGAUGCGUAGCCGACCUGAGAGGGUGAUCGGCCACACUGGAACUGAGACACGGUCCAGACUCCUACGGGAGGCAGCAGUAGGGAAUCUUCCGCAAUGGGCGAAAGCCUGACGGAGCAACGCCGCGUGAGUGAUGAAGAUCUUCGGAUCGUAAAACUCUGUUAUUAGGGAAGAACAAAUGUGUAAGUAACUAUGCACGUCUUGACGGUACCUAAUCAGAAAGCCACGGCUAACUACGUG